AGUGAACGCUGGCGGUAGGCCUAACACAUGCAAGUCGAACGGCAGCACAGUAAGAGCUUGCUCUUACGGGUGGCGAGUGGCGGACGGGUGAGGAAUACAUCGGAAUCUACUUUUUCGUGGGGGAUAACGUAGGGAAACUUACGCUAAUACCGCAUACGACCUACGGGUGAAAGCAGGGGAUCUUCGGACCUUGCGCGAUUGAAUGAGCCUAUGUCGGAUUAGCUAGUUGGCGGGGUAAAGGCCCACCAAGGCGACGAUCCGUAGCUGGUCUGAGAGGAUGAUCAGCCACACUGGAACUGAGACACGGCCCAGACUCCUACGGGAGGCAGCAGUGGGGAAUAUUGGACAAUGGGCGCAAGCCUGAUCCAGCCAUACCGCGUGGGUGAAGAAGGCCUUCGGGUUGUAAAGCCCUUUUGUUGGGAAAGAAAAGCAGCAGGUUAAUACCCCGCUGUUCUGACGGUACCCAAAGAAUAAGCACCGGCUAACUUCGUG
rnacentral:rRNA from 1 species